CCAUUUUGUGUUCUUUGUAUUCUUAAGAUGAUAAUAUAUUAUGUAUUUGAAUUGCUGAAAAUUGAAAAUGAAGUUGAAGAUAUAUGUAUAUAAGCGUAUGCUGUAUUGGUGCAAUAAUGGUAAUUAAAGAUAUUUAAAAAGGUAAAAAAAAAAAAA
rnacentral:misc_RNA from 1 species